AAUGAACGUUGGCGGCGUGGAUUAGGCAUGCAAGUCGAGCGAGAACCGUAGCAAUACGGGGACAGCGGCGAAAGGGACAGUAAUGUGUAGGUACCUACCCCCGGGUUCGGGAUAGCUGCGGGAAACUGCAGGUAAUACCGAAUAAUGUCUUCGGACCAAAGGUGCGAUUCCACCUGGGGAGGGGCCUGCAUCCUAUUAGCUUGUUGGUGGGGUAACGGCUUACCAAGGCGACGAUGGGUAGCGGGUGUGAGAGCAUGACCCGCGUCAUUGGGACUGAGACACUGCCCAGACACCUACGGGUGGCUGCAGUCGAGGAUCUUCGGCAAUGGGCGCAAGCCUGACCGAGCGACGCCGCGUGCGGGAUGAAGGCCUUCGGGUUGUAAACCGCUGUCGUAGAGGAGGAAAUGCAGGAGGGUUCUCCCUUCUGUUUGACCUAUUCUGGGAGGAAGUACGGGCUAAGUUCGUGCCAGCAGCCGCAGUAA
rnacentral:rRNA from 1 species